rnacentral:lncRNA from 1 species
CAGGCAUAUAUUUUGUCAUUCAGAUCAUAUGAUAGUUGAAUUUUAUUUCUUGGUUUUAUCUUCUUGAUCACUGAAAUUUGCAUUUGUUGCUUGUUUAACAGAAACCUCACAACUUGAAAUUGGAAACAUAAGUACAUUAACUUAUUCUGUUGUUACAGAUGACAGUACAUUAUGAAUACUAAUAUUGACUCGACCAGUUUCAGAAUGAAGAAAAGAGGAGCCUCAUGAUGCUCCUUG